rnacentral:rRNA from 1 species
GAUGAACGCUAGCUACAGGCUUAACACAUGCAAGUCGAGCGGGGACUUGUUGAGGAAGUCUUCGGAUGAAAUCGAUAAGUUCUAGCGGCGGACGGGUGAGUAACGCGUGAGCAACCUGCCCUCCACAGGGGGAUAACGCACCGAAAGGUGCACUAAUACCGCAUAAGACCACGUUUCUGACAUGGGGAUGAGGUCAAAGGNGCAAUCCGGUGGAAGAUGGGCUCGCGUCUGAUUAGCUGGUUGGUGAGGUAACGGCCCACCAAGGCGACGAUCAGUAGCCGACCUGAGAGGGUGAUCGGCCACAUUGGAACUGAGAGACGGUCCAAACUCCUACGGGAGGCAGCAGUGGGGAAUAUUGCACAAUGGGGGAAACCCUGAUGCAGCGACGCCGCGUGAGCGAAGAAGUAUUUCGGUAUGUAAAGCUCUAUCAGCAGGAGAAAAAAUGACGGUACCUGACUAAGAAGCCCCGGCUAACUACGUGCCAGCAGCC